rnacentral:lncRNA from 1 species
GACUGGGCUGAGUUUGUGGCGCGCUUAGUGAUGGGAGGGCGCUGUGCAGGACGCCGACACGAAAAGAUGAAGAGUUCAAUCCGUGCUGUCUGAACUCACAGUGUAGCGGGCGAGAUAGACGGGAAGAUCGGUAGGGUGGGAGAUGCCGGAAAGGCUUCCCGUGAAACUGGAUAAGAAAUCAAAAAUCUGGUGAAAUUGCCGGCAGGAGGGAGUUAAGGACAUUCCAGGCAGAGGCAAGCUAUUUGACAGACCAUAUGCUCUAUUGAACUUUGCCACUGCAUCACAACUAGACCCUGAACAGGAUGGAUUUCUGGACUUCUGAAAGUUGGUCCUUGCUGGCUGAUCCAGCUUCCCC